rnacentral:rRNA from 1 species
GGGCCCGCACAAGCGGUGGAGUAUGUGGUUUAAUUCGAUGCAACGCGAAGAACCUUACCAGGGCUUAAAUGUAGUCUGACAGGACUGGAAACAGUUUUUUCUUCGGACAGAUUACAAGGUGCUGCAUGGUUGUCGUCAGCUCGUGCCGUGAGGUGUCAGGUUAAGUCCUAUAACGAGCGCAACCCCUGUGGUUAGUUGCCAGCGAGUAAUGUCGGGAACUCUAGCCAGACUGCCGGUGCAAACCGUGAGGAAGGUGGGGAUGACGUCAAAUCAUCACGGCCCUUACGUCCUGGGCCACACACGUGCUACAAUGGUAGGGACAGAGAGCAGCCACUUCGCGAGAAGGAGCGAAUCUAUAAACCCUAUCACAGUUCGGAUCGCAGUCUGCAACUCGACUGCGUGAAGCUGGAAUCGCUAGUAAUCG